ensembl:lncRNA
UUUUUAUGCCUGAAUUUAGCUCAUCAAAAUUCUAAAAACCAGUUAAAAAUUCAAUGUCUUCAAAAUUCACCAUCAAAAAAUUCAAUGUUCAAAAUUCGCCAUCAAAAAAUUCAAUGUUCACAAUUCGCUGUCAAAAAAUUCGCUGUUCACAUCUGGGGGACUCCUCCUCCGGUCAUGUGACGCAGACGGUUCACCUCACAAGACCGGGGUCAAUCACAGCUACCAGCAUGAACGACGGCGCUUCAACCAAAGAACUACAGACUCUUCACAACCUGCUCAAACUCUUGGUACAGGACCUCACCACACGGGUCAAGAAGGUUUCUGUCUCAUUUCUACUCUGAAGCUCACCUUCUCCUGCUCAAACUGCUGACAAAUGUUUCUGCUGCUCUAAAGUCUGGUCUCCAGAAC